AAUAAACCAAUCUUUCACUUUUUACCUAUAAUGUUUGACUCUUCGUCUUAUUUGAAAAAAAUAUGAUUAAUAUUUUUGUUUUUAUUAGAUGAUAAAUUUUGAGUAGUACAUUACGUGUGACUAAUUUUUUUAAAUUUCUUGAAAUUUUUUUAAAUAAGACGGAUAGUCAAACGCUGGACACUCAAACCUAAAGUUCGCCUUAUU
rnacentral:pre_miRNA from 1 species